rnacentral:rRNA from 1 species
GACGAACGCUGGCGGCGUGCCUAGCACAUGCAAGUCGAACGGAAAGGCCCUGCUUUUGUGGGGUGCUCGAGUGGCGAACGGGUGAGUAACACGUGAGUAUCCCGCCCUUGACUUUGGGAUAACUUCAGGCAACUGGGGCUAAUACCUGAUAGGAGCUCCUGCUGCAUGGUGGUCGUUGGAAAGCUUCGGCGGGAGUGGAUGGACUGGCGGCUUAUCAGCUUGUUGGGUGGGUAGUGGCUUACCAAGGCAUUGACGGAUAGCCGGCCUGAGAGGGGGAACGCCCACAUGAGGACUAAGGUAGGGAGCAGACGCGAACGGGGGGCAAUGGGGGAGAGUAUGACACAGUCAGGGGGAGCGUGAGACGAAGACGCCGGGAGCGGGAAGAACGCCAACGGGUUGGGAACGGCUGUCAGCUGAGACGAAGCGUGAGUGACGGUACUGGGAGAAGAAGCACCGGCUAACUACGUG